rnacentral:rRNA from 1 species
GAUGAACGCUGGCGGCGUGCCUAACACAUGCAAGUCGAGCGGCAGCGUCGGGUGCUUGCACCCUGUCGUCGAUCGGCGGACGGCUGCGUACCUCGUGGGCACGUUCCCCAAAGUGAGGAAUAACUGCUCGCAAGGGUUGCUUAUACCGCAUAUUAUCUUCGGAUCAAAGGAUUUAUCCGCUUUGGUAGCGGCUCGCGUCGGUUUAGGUCGUCGGUGGGGUAAUGGCUCACCAAGCCUACGAUCCGUAGCUGGUCUGAGAGGAUGACCAGCCAGACUGGAACUGAGACACGGUCAAAACUCCUACGGAAGGAAGAAGGGAGGAAACUUCAAAAUUGGGCGAAAGCCUAAUGGAGCAAGGCCGCGUAGAGAUGGAAGGCCUACGGUUUGUAAACUGCUUUUAUAAGGAAGGAAUAGGAAGGAACCGUAUAAAUAAGGAUGGGCUAACUAGGG